ACAUGUCUUGUUGAUUGAGAUUUCAAGUUUGGCCUGCCCACUGAUUAUUUAAAUGGCCGCAGUAUAUUGACUGUGCAAAGGUAGCAUAAUCAUUUGUUUUUUAAUUGAGAGCUUGUAUGAAAGGUUUGAUGAAAAAAUAGCUGUCUCUUAAUAGAUUAAGUAGAAUUUUAUUUCUAAGUGAAAAAGCUUAGAUUUAAGUAGAAGACGAGAAGACCCUAUAGAGUUUUAUAAAAAAAAGUGAAUAUUUGGUAUGUGGAAUUAUAAAUUUGGAUUUUAUUUUAUUAUUUUGUUGGGGUGAUGAGAAAAUUAGUUUAACUUUUCUUUAUUUUUAUAUUAAUUUGUAAAUUAAUGAUCCUUUAUAAAGAUUAAAAGAAAAAACUACCUUAGGGAUAACAGCGUAAUUUUUUCAAGAGUUCUUAUCGGAAAAAAAGUUUGCGACCUCGAUGUUGGAUUAAAAUAAAUUUGUGGUGUAGAAGCUACCAAAUUAGGUCUGUUCGACCUUUAAAAUUUUACAUGAUCUGAGUUUAAACCGGUGUGA
rnacentral:rRNA from 1 species